AUUGAACGCUGGCGGCGUGCUUAACACAUGCAAGUCGAUCGGUAACGCGGGGGCAACCCUGGCGACGAGAGGCGGACGGGUAAGGAACGCUUGGGAAUCUGCCCUUCAGCGGGGGACAACACGGGGAAACUCGUGCUAAUACCGCAUACGCUCCACGGAGGAAAGCCGGGGACCGCAAGGCCUGGCACUGAAGGAUGAGCCCAAGUCGGAUUAGCUAGUUGGCGGGGUAACGGCCCACCAAGGCGACGAUCCGUAGCUGGUCUGAGAGGACGAUCAGCCACACUGGGACUGAGACACGGCCCAGACUCCUACGGGAGGCAGCAGUGGGGAAUAUUGCACAAUGGGCGCAAGCCUGAUGCAGCCAUGCCGCGUGUGUGAAGAAGGCCUUCGGGUUGUAAAGCACUUUCAGCGGGGAAGAGGAGAGCCUUAUUAAUACCAAGGUGAUUUGACGGUACCUCAAGAGGAAGCCACGGCUAACUCUGUGCCAGCCGCCGCCGUAACAC
rnacentral:rRNA from 1 species